rnacentral:misc_RNA from 1 species
GGUUUAAUUGUCAUAGCCUUCUUUUAAUUAUUAGAUUAGAGAAGAGCGAUCUAUACUGUUAUUUAAUUCUGUUGUUUUUUUUUUUAUUUUCAAAUGUUCACAGAUAUAAGAAUUUUUGUGAAUGGAUUUUCAUUGAUCUCUGGUUUGUCAUAAGUUUUAUAACCUAAAAAUCUAAGUAUAAAUGGGAGUGACAGUACUGACAGUUGUACCUGUUAUUGAAAAUUGAAUUUGUUAAUAUUUGAAAGGCAGAAGAACUGGUGAAGAAAAUAGUUUACCAUGCUUGGAUUUAUUUUAUUCAAGAGUUAGUCGUAAGUGCAAAUCUGGUGAUAAUGGUAGCGUUUUAGUAACAGAGAAAGUUAGAGCGAAAGUAUUAUUGAACGAUGUCAUCAGAAGCUUUGGAUCUAAAUCACAUAGGAAACAAUGAAACCACAGCAUCUGGUACUAAUCAUUCAGUUAGUUAUGAUAUAACAAUACAGGCUCUUCGUUAUGAAGUCAGGAGCAAAAUCUCAGCUCUCCUUAAUCCAUAUAAAGUUAUUCCCACAGAUGAUGGUCUCCCAAGAGACUGGCAAGGCUUUGCUGAGUUAAUAGGUAUAACAGGUGAACAGUUACCACAGUUGGAAGCAGAGAAAGAUCCAACAAACAAAUUGCUCAAUCUUUGGCAGAAUAAAGAGAAAGACAAAUGUACAAUUAACAGAUUAUUGCAAUUUUUUGAAAAAUUAGAUAGAUUUGAUAUUAUUGAUGACAUUCAAACACUUAUAGAGGCAGAUAUACAAUUAUUCCAACAAAACAAAAACGAAUUACAGUUGUGUAAUUCAUCUCCAGAGGCCGAUAGACUAAUUCUCACUGUAGAUGAUGUAGAUAGAGUGAAUCAAGGUUUGAAACCUCAGCAUUAUGAUGCGUUUGUCUUAUAUGCAGACGAAGACAUCGAUUUUGCUACAAAGUUGUUGGAAAUGAUGGAAAAAUUGUACAAUUUGAAGUUGUGUGUUAAAGACAGAGACCUGGUGGGAGGUGCAUUUGAGCACGACGUUAUCAUUAAAUUGAUAUCUGAGAGAUGUAAUCGGCUGGUUGUUAUUAUCACUGCCGCAUUUUUAAAGAGUUCUGCCAACGUUUUUUUCGUUAGUUUGGCACAGGCUAUAAGUAUAGAACAAAGACAACGUAAAAUAAUUCCCUGUCUUUACGGACCUUGUAAAGUGCCUCCAGAAAUUAGCUGUUAUGUUAUGUUAGACUAUGAGCGAUCAGGAAAAUGGAAAUGGAAUUUUUGGGAAAAGCUUAGGGAUUCCAUCCAGACACCUAAAAAGAUUCCUGUGCAAGCCCAAAGAAACCAGAGGACUUUUAACAGAUUUUUAUCCGACCAAGAGUGCAAUAGGCAGUCAAAGUUUUCAACUGAUAAUCAUUUACGAUCGUCUUUGCAUGAUAGAAAACUCGACCCACCGAGAAAUAUGGUUAAAUUUAGAAGUAUGGUAGAUUUAAAAAGUGAAGAUGAAGAAAGUAUUAAACCAGACCCUGCGUUAAAUGUAUGCUCCAGUUCAAGCAACUUGAGUGCUAUGAACAACCCAAAUUCAGAAAUCUUGAAGUCGAAUAAGACAAAGACUAGUUGGUUUAAAAAGUUUUUGCCAAAUAAGGGUGAGAAGAAAGCGGAGAAAGGUGAUAAAAAAGUCCAGAAGAACGGCGAAAAAAAUGAGCAGCAGAUGAGUGAAAAAGUGAAGCAAGGAAAGAGAAGCAAAAAUAAAAUGGGUAACAAUGUAAUUGAAAGAGUCCAUCACAAAAGCAAGAAACAUUUUUGGACAAUACCUAUGAAACGAAAAGUUGCUGUUCUAAAUUGAAUGCUUAUUUUAAAGUGAUUUAUGAUCACAAUUUAAGUACAAUAGUCACUUUCAUUAUGAAAUCUGAAUAAUGCUCUAGGAUUUAAGAUUCGUGAUAAGAUUGUUUGAAUAUUAAUGUGUUCAUAAUACAUAUUUUUAAUGGUAAAUACACAGAAUAAAGCUAAGUGGGACUAAAAUGGAGAAAAGCGCCUUAAUACGAACAACUUCAUCUUGUAGAAUGUCCCAUUAAUAUUAAUCUAUAUUUGCCUUGUAAAUUUUUUGCAAGGUAAGUAGCUACGGUUUACCGUGUGUUUAAUUACAUUAUUUCGUUUUCGUAUGCAUAAAAGAGGUUGUAAUUUAUGUUCAUAGUUUGACACAAUUCUUUUUGAUAGUUAAUAAUAAGAUAGCUAAUUAGUAAUUACAUUGUUGGUUAAAGAUAAUAGCUGGGUAGACACAAAUGAUUGCUGGUGCAGCUCCAUGUUCCCUAUUUUCUGUGCAAGUUAUUACUAAUCAUAAUCAUCAUAGGGUUGUCAGUUUAAAUCAUGGCUGAACGUGCAGCUCCACUCUUUUCUACUCUUAGCUAGGAGUAAAAAAUGUAACUUGCAAAAAGAAUAAGAUUCACGGGAGCAGUUCAUCUACGUUUACAGGACUGCUUUCUUUUGGGACAAUUUUAAAAUCCGUUAAAAAUAACUUCAAAUUCAUUCAGGAAAAUUUAAUUUCAGUGAAUUUAAUUUUGUUUAACUGUUUUGGACUUUCUUUAAGUUUAUGGGGGCGAUAUUUUAUAAACAGUUCUUCCUGAUUUUUGUUAAAGCUUCCCAAAACUAUUAAUUUGUAAAAAAACGACUAGUAGACUAGUAGUAGUAGACUAUUAAUUUUUUACAAGUUAGACAUUGUUUCAGUAAAGAAAUAAAUGAGACCAUUCUUAAGAAUUCGUCCAUUUAUUUGGUUUAGUAUUUACCCAGUUAUUUUGCAUUAAAAGUUACAAAAGUACCUUUUGUAAUAGAAUUUUUUUAACAGAAACCAUCAAAACGAAAUUAUUCUACAUUUGCUUCUUUUUACUUCUGCUUGGUAAUGGAAUAUUAAUCUGUAAACAUAUGUAUACAACUACUAUUACACAUAUCAUAUCCUAAUAAUUAUUAAAUAUGUGCCACUAGGAUUUAAAUUGUACUGUUUUUAAGAUAAUUAUUUUAUUAUUUACCUGAAGAGGGCUUGUUAUUUAGACUUGGAUGUGUCCACUGCUAGAGUCGUUUAUCUGAUGUUUCGCCAGUUGCUGUGAUUGGAAUUUUCAGGUGCUCUGAAGAUACCAACCACAGCAGUUAAGUGAAACUUCAAAUAAAUGAUUCCAUCGGUAGAUUUGCUGAAGGAGGGAAGCCGAUCUUGCACUUUAUUCCAUCAUUAGAUAAUGCUGUCCAUAAAAGUCUUAGCCUUUUUAUAGUUGUUUAUGUAAAUACAAAUAUAUACUUCUUUAGUA